AUUGAACGCUGGCGGCAUGCCUUACACAUGCAAGUCGAACGGUAACGCGGGGCAACCUGGCGACGAGUGGCGAACGGGUGAGUAAUGUAUCGGAACGUGCCCAGUAGUGGGGGAUAGCCCGGCGAAAGCCGGAUUAAUACCGCAUGAGACCUGAGGGUGAAAGCGGGGGAUCGCAAGACCUCGCGCUAUUGGAGCGGCCGAUAUCAGAUUAGGUAGUUGGUGGGGUAAGAGCCUACCAAGCCGACGAUCUGUAGCUGGUCUGAGAGGACGACCAGGCACGCGGGGACUGCGACACGGCCGAGACUCCGACGGGAGUCAGCAGUGGGGGAGUUUGGACAAUGGGCGCAAGCCGGAUCCAGCCAUGCCGCGUGCGGGAAGAAGGCCUUCGGGUUGUAAACCGCUUUUGUCAGGGAAGAAAUCUUCUGGGUUAAUACCUCGGGAGGAUGACGGUACCUGAAGAAUAAGCACCGGCUAACUACGUGCCAGCCGCCGCAGUAAGAC
rnacentral:rRNA from 1 species